rnacentral:tRNA from 1 species
GCGGAAAUAGCUCAGUGGUAGAGCACCACCUUGCCAAGGUGGGGGUCGCGGGUUCGAAUCCCGUCUUCCGCU